GACAGAGGUGCCAAGCGUUAGGCGGAAUCACUGGGCUUAAAGCGUGUGUAGGCGGAUCGUUAAGUACCUUGUGAAAUCCCACGGCUCAACCGUGGAACUGCUCGGUAUACUGGCGGUCUUGAGCCACCUAGGGGCAACUGGAACAAGCGGUGGAGCGGUGAAAUGCGUAGAUAUCAGGAGGAACACCGGUGGCGAAGGCGGCUCUCUGGACCACAACUGACGCUGAGGCGCGAAAGCUAGGGGAGCAAACAGG
rnacentral:rRNA from 1 species